rnacentral:tRNA from 1 species
GCAUCAUUCGUCUAAUGGUUAAGACACCUGAUCCCCAAUCUGGAAAUGAGAGUUCGAUUCUCUUAUGAUGCUCCA